GGCUCCCGCAAGCGCUGAGAUAGCUGGAGCCAGGGCCCCGCGGCCGCCUCCUGGGGCAGAAUGGAACAGCCUGGGCCCAGGGCUCCGGAUCCCUCUCUCUGCCACCACAACCUCCAGCCAACAGAUGACCCCAACUGGGAUUCCUAUGCUACCACUAUGAGGACUGCAUUCACGCCUAAAACAGGAGCAGUGCCUGCCUUAAUUCGCCAAAACGGUAUCAGAAGAUUAGGAUAUACAUAUUCACUUAGUGAUCCUAUUCUCAAUCAGACACAAUAUAGUGAUGAGUACACUUGGAAAUCACACUCUAAAGAAGAUUUGAUCAAAACUGAGACUUCAAGAGGAAUCAAGAGCCACAAAUCUCAUCUCAAUGAAGACAUUUUCCUGUGGACACUACCUCACUGUCAACAAACGGGGACACUAAAGAACUGCCUCCCUUGGAAAAUCCCGGCUUCAAUGAAAGAAGUUAACAAGGCACUAUCAAAUCAGUUUAUUUCCCUUACUAAGAGAGACUUUGUGGACAGAUCAAAAGCUCAGAAGAUUAAGAAAAGUUCUCACUUGUCUCUGGAAUGGAAAAAGUUACUUCCCCAACCUCCAGACACUGAAUUCCGAAGGAAUUACCAAAUUCCAGCUAAAAUUCCUGAGCUUCAAGAUUUCAGUUUCAAAUAUGGAUGCUACUCAAGCUUGCCUGUUGCUUCUCAGGGUCUAGUGCCUUCUGUGCUGCACAGCUACCUGAGGAACCAAGAGCACACAAAGAAACAGACCACAUACCAAAGUGACUACGACAAAACCUACCCAGAUUUCUUAAUGCUUUUAAACUCAUUUACUUCCUCUCAAGUCAAAGAGUACCUUCAGAGUCUUUCCUACAAAGAUGCCUCUGGGCCAGUCUGGCACUUCAGAAGAAAACCAAGAGGCUCCUAAGGCUCUGCUGGCUCAAUCUUCCCAGAGUUCCCAGCCAAAGCUCUGCAGCAAGCUCAAGUCAGCCUGCCUGUUCUUGCUUUCAAUUUUGUAUAUAAAAUUAUCCUCUGCAUUUUACAAGGAGCUCUUUUUACCUUUAGGAUCCACAUCUGUUGGACCCUGUAGAAAGAGGAUUUUUGUCUUCCCUAAGCAGAUGCUCCCAUCUGCCCAGGGACUUGCAAUGCAGAUUCAGCUGUCAUUUCUCUGCCUUCAUGGAAACCAUGGUGUCUGCAGGCACCGCUGUCUCUUACUGUGUGUCAGGUGCAAUCCAACCUUAGUGGCGCCCCUGAGGGUGAACUAGGGACUCCUCAAAGUGCUCUGGCAGCCUCAGAUCUACAUUCUCCAAGAUACUGGGAUAGACAAAUUAUUGAUCGCUUUAUUCGUACUCACUGUGACACUAACAAAAAGAAGAAAUGAAAAGGGAAAAUAGUACAAAUGAAGAAAAUCUGAAAAUCAAUGGAAGCACGAGGACAUUCCUAGUCAUUUUCUCAAUUAUCAAGGAAAAAUAAGAUGCAAAUAGCUUCAAGUAUGAUGUGAUAGUCAUGAAUUUGUGUCUUUUGCUCCGCUUUAUUUUUAAACAAUAAAAUUAAGGCUACAAAAUUUUCCCUGAACAUAGCUUUAGCUGUAUCCAAUAGUUUUUGAUACAAUGUUUUUUUCUUUUCCCUUUUGGAUACUUAAUUUGUAGUUUCAAUUUUGAUUUCUCCUGUGAACUAGGAAUUAUGUGGAAGAGAUUUCUUAAUGUCCCAUUAAUCAGAGACUUAAGAAAUCAUUUUAUUGCCUUAUCUCUUCUUUGAAUGAAUGAAAGUUUAAAAAUCUGCUUUUGGGAAAUCAAUUGCAGUUUUAUUUAAUGCCAUUAAUCAAGUAUAUGAUUAAUUUGUGUGUUACGUGAAUAUGAGAAAAAAAUUAUAGUUUAUUGUAUUUUUUAAUCCCUUAUAUCUUUAAUUGUAUACUUGAAUUGUUCAAUUCUGAAAGAAUAUUGGAACCUCCCACAAUAAAUAUAUUUUUAUCAA